UUUCCGUAGGUGAACCUGCGGAAGGAUCAUUCAUAAUAAGUGUUUUAUGGCACUUUUUUAAAUCCAUAUCCACCUUGUGUGCAAUGUCAGGGUUGAUUUUUCUCUCGAGAGGAUCAACCCCAAACAUCAACUAUAUCUCAACUCUUUUUCUGAAAAUAUUUUUGAAUAAAAAAAUCAAAAAUAAAACUUCCAACAACGGACCCUUUGGCUCCCGCUCCGAUGAAGAACGAAGCAGAUCGAAAGAGCAACCGUCUGAAUCCCAUCACGGCGAACCAACCC
rnacentral:misc_RNA from 1 species